CCUGGGUUUGACAUAUAGGUUGUAGGGAACUGAAAGGGACGACCCUUCGGGAGCCUAUACAGGUGUUGCAUGGCUGUCGUCAGCUCGUGUCGUGAGAUGUUCGGUUAAGUCCGCUAACGAGCGCAACCCUCGUCGUAUGUUAUAUGUGUCAUACGAGACUGCCGGUAAAAAGCCGGAGGAAGGUGAGGAUGAUGUCAAGUCAGCAUGACCUUUAUAUCCAGGGCUACACACACGCUACAAUGGUCUGUACAAUGGGUAGCCAAGCCGCGAGGCGGAGCCAAUCCUGAAAGCAGGCCUCAGUUCAGAUUGCAGUCUGCAACUCGACUGCAUGAAGCCGGAGUUGCUAGUAACCGCAGGUCAGCAAUACUGCGGUGAAUACGUUCCCGGGUCUU
rnacentral:rRNA from 1 species